UUGCCCCCUUUCGAUUGUGAUCGAGUUUAUUGUUUUGUUCUUUCUUAUUGUAAAUGUCAUUUUGUUUGUAAAGUUUAGUUUAUAAACUGUACUUCUAUUUACUCUUUGAAUUUAUUUUUUUGUUUAUGUUGUCGUUUCUUGAUUUUAGUUUCUGUGGAUUUAUAUGGUUCUGAUUACAGAAAGUAUUGUCAUUGGACAAAAACUCUUACAAGCAAGCUGCAAAUCUGUUCAAAGAAACCAAGAUCUGUUAAUAUCAAAUACGUCAGCCAUUGGCAAUGGAAUAAAAGUUGGGUCGUGGGAGGAAGAAGCUGGUUCGUUGCCAUUUUUAGUUGUAUAAGUUUUCCAUAGGCUUCGAUCAUCUCCCCAAUAAACCCAGAGCCUCAUUUUCUCCUGCUAAGCAAAAGAAAAUCAAGGAGGCCUGCAACUUCGUAUGCAGUCCGCCACUGCAAAUCAGUCUGGAAACUGGAAAAUUCAAAGGUCAUAUUUUUCACUUUCUGGAUGUGCAAAGUUUGGAUAGUACACAUCACCGGGCCAAACCUUUCUCAGGAAUGUCAUUCUAAAAGGAUAUUGGCAGGAGGGGGUGGAAUGUCAUUCUAAGAUAUAUAUAUCAGCAGCAAGGGUGUGGAAGCUCACACGCUCAGAUUUCAACGCGUUUCGAAGGUGGAAAUGACAAGAAUGUGCAGUGUGGACUUCCAAUUUCUAGUGCUAUGAUGCAUGAGGACUGCCAAAGUGAGAAUACUGGUUAGUUGUCAUCAAGCAGCCCUUGUAGAUGUGUAUUUUGUUUAUAUAUUGCUAGUUUAACCAUUAGUACGUUUGACUUGGGGAUACAAGCUUGGAUAUGUUAUAUUUUGUUGUAUAUAGAGAAUCCCGGGUAUGUCCAGCAUAGGAUAACAUGUAUUUUUUGGUUUAACAUUUGGAUGGGUUGUAUUGUUAGGUUGCAUGAAUCGGUCUUAGCCGAGAACAUGGGUUAUGUAAUAUAUUAACUUCACUAUUUUAGUGCUAAUGUUGAUUUAUGUUUAGUUUGUAA